rnacentral:lncRNA from 1 species
ACUUACUUUCCAGUUUUUACGGCUGCUACUACUGAUGUUGGUAGCGGCUGCUCAGCUCCACCGAUGGAGGCUCCAGAACUUCAGUGCUUAGGGGAUAGAGAAAGCUUGUUGCAGAGACGGCUACAACAGACAUACCCAACCGCUUGUUGCAGGGAAAGAGUGACUGGUGCUGCGAGAAGGCGGCGGCGCUAUGAGAGACUGAGACUUAUUAACACAUUCAAGCGAACACGCUUCAACCAGCAACUACCUUUACGUUAAACGCUACCUAGUUUUAACAUGGCGGGAUCGCGAUGCUCCUGAACAUAUCGGAUCGGUUACAAAAGGGAUCACAACGCUGUCUGCCCUUACUGUUUCUCUACUGUCUAAUUCCUGGAUGCCGUGGCGUUCUUUUACCACAGAACGGCCACGAUCUUCGCCGUUUCAUGUGAUUUUUACCUUUAACCACAGACAACUUCACCGUGGUUAUUUCUUUCGCUGUUGCUUUUGUCAUGGUCUGCUGAGUCAAAACUCUUCCGUGUCGGUUGUAUUGUCGGAUAGGAUGAUUUGCAGAUGAUAAAGACAUGGCUGAAGAGGUUCCCGCCGCACGAAAGACGUCAACGCCGAGAGCUAGAUCUUCUUCUUUGGUCUCCAAGAUCAGAGAGGACAGCAAUCUGAGCGUCAACCCCGCUUUACAAGGGGACAGAGAACCUGGAGCGGUGGCGAAAACCGAUGAGGAUAUCAACAGAAAUGCUUCUGAUGUUGCCGCAGUUGCUCCCUGUGUCACUCAAUCUAACCCUUCCCCCAGUAGUACGUUUAACAAUAUCAACAAUCAUAACAACAGCAACAACAACAGCAACAACAACAGCAGCAACAGUAGUACAAGCAGCAGCAGCAACAACAAUAAUAAUAACGUUAAUAAUAAUCAUAAUAAUCAUAAUAAUAAAUCGGCAAGAAUUAUUGCCAACACAACCGAAACGGUGCAUGACGAACCAGAAGAGGAGGAAUUACCAUACCCAGGAUUUGUACCGACGGCUUUAUAUUGCCUCAAUCAAACCAACAAAUUGCGUUGGGUUUGCUUGAAAAUCAUUACUUGGCCAU